rnacentral:lncRNA from 1 species
UAGUACGUUAUUAUUGACUGGUAUUGUGAACAUAAUUGGUAUGUAGGAUUUAAUUCAAAGAACGAGUUUGUUUAAGUGUAAUCUACGCACGAGGCAAGUUUCUAAACCUUAUCUUGUUACAUUGAGCAAGUUUUCUAACUCUACAUUUACGUUGAGCAAGUUUCUUACCCUAAACUUUCGUUGAGCAAGUUUCCUAACCCU